rnacentral:rRNA from 1 species
UACGUAGGGGGCAAGCGUUGUCCGGAUUUAUUGGGCGUAAAGGGCGCGUAGGCGGCCUGGCAAGUGGAAGGUGAAAUCCCUCGGCUUAACCGAGGAACUGCCCUCCAAACUGCUUGGCUUGAGUCCGGGAGAGGUGAGUGGAAUUCCCAGUGUAGCGGUGAAAUGCGUAGAUAUUGGGAGGAACACCGGUGGCGAAGGCGGCUCACUGGACCGGAACUGACGCUGAGGCGCGAAAGCGUGGGGAGCAAACGGG